GGGCGGUUAGCUCAGUGGUUAGAGCGCCUCGUUCACACCGAGGAGGUCGGAGGUUCAAGUCCUCUAUCGCCCACCA
rnacentral:tRNA from 1 species